GUCUACGGCCACACCUCCCUGAACGCGCCCAGGCUCGUCUGGUCUCAGGAGCUAAGCAGGGUUGGGCCUGGUUAGUACUUGGAUGGGAAGAGAUGGUGUCUGUGCACA
rnacentral:rRNA from 1 species